GCUUAACGCGAAGAACCUUACCCACCUUUGACAUGUACGGAAUUUGCCAGAGAUGGCUUAGUGCUCGAAAGAGAACCGUAACACAGGUGCUGCAUGGCUGUCGUCAGCUCGUGUCGUGAGAUGUUGGGUUAAGUCCCGCAACGAGCGCAACCCUUGCCAUUAGUUGCUACAAAAGGGCACUCUAAUGGGACUGCCGGUGACAAACCGGAGGAAGGUGGGGAUGACGUCAAGUCCUCAUGGCCCUUAUAGGUGGGGCUACACACGUCACACAAUGGCUGGUACAAAGGGUUGCCAACCCGCGAGGGGGAGCCAAUCCCAUAAAACCAGUCGUAGUCCGGAUCGCAGUCUGCAACUCGACUGCGUGAAGUCGGAAUCGCUAGUAAUCGUGGAUCAGCAUGUCACGGUGAAUACGUUCCCGGGUCUUGUACACACCG
rnacentral:rRNA from 1 species